CCAGCCCGCUCAGAAACUCAAAGGAAUUGACGGGGGCCCGCACAAGCGGAGGAGCAUGUGGUUUAAUUCGAUGAUACGCGAGGAACCUUACCUGGGCUUAAAUGCUUAAUGACGUACUGGGAAACUGGUAUUUCUUCGGACAUUUUGCAAGGUGCUGCAUGGUUGUCGUCAGCUCGUGCCGUGAGGUGUCGGGUUAAGUCCCAUAACGAGCGCAACCCCUAUUGUUAGUUGCCAUCAGGUCAUGCUGGGGACUCUAACAAAACUGCCCGCGUAAGCGUGGAGGAAGGUGGGGAUGACGUCAAAUCAGCACGGCCCUUACGUCCAGGGCUACACACGUGCUACAAUGGCCGGUACAGAGGGCAGCCACUUGGUGACAAGGAGCAAAUCUCAAAAGCCGGUCUCAGUUCGGAUCGGAGUCUGCAACUCGACUCCGUGAAGUUGGAUUCGCUAGUAAUCGUAGAUCAGCAAUGCUACGGUGAAUACGUUCCCGGGCCUU
rnacentral:rRNA from 1 species